rnacentral:lncRNA from 1 species
UAGAGAGAAUUCAUUUGAAGAACAAUCAAGCUUAUUCAACUCUAAUAUGUCUUGUCAAAAAUAAAGUUCUAUAAAGGUGUUUAUUUAAGGAAAUUUUUUCCCUUCUUAUAACCUAGGUUCAAAGUAUGUCGAUUGUUGGGCAUGAAGACUGUUAAAGACAAAUUAAGCAGAUGGAGAAAUAUCCACUCUUCAGUCCAAUGGAAAGUUCUUUCACAUCGACAUUAAUAUUUU